CACUGGUACUCAGCUGAAACCGGUUAGACUGGUAGUCGACCCCAACAUAGUUGGGAAAAGUCAUUGGCCAAUGAUGACAUAUCGUAGCUAAAAAAACUAAUAUUUCAAAGCCAAUUUAUAUUGUACAAGUCAUAUUAUAUAAAAAGGACCAUACCGAUCAUCGAAUUAAAUCUUUAUUUUUUGCUGUCCAAGCGGAAAUAGAAAAAUACAUUAUCAAUGAAAACUUCAUCUGACAGCCUGUGACAGAAGGACAAACAGACCGAGAGACAGCGGAGCCUGUACUUAAAAUUAGUAGUUAUUACUCAAUAGAAACUUAAACUUAACAAAUAUAAAACGUGGAAAAAUAUUUAACAUAUGCACUCUGUCAAUACUUCAUCACUAAAAUUCCAACAAAACAGACUCAUACGAACCAACACCUACGUCCAUUGUACCAGUGUAGAGCAAUGCAAAUACAAUAAAUUUUCCCUUUCUUUAAAUCAAUACGACGUUCAUUCAUAGAAUCGAUUGUAGGGCAGGCGUAUUGAAGCGACCUUUGCAAUCGAGCCAUCAUUAUCGGCACGAGCUGCCCACGUAACCCAUUGAAACUGUGUGCUGGUAUACUAGGACUUGUCUCAGGGUUUGUUCGGUAUUUAGUGUUGUGUUAGUUUAAGGCGACUGUGAAACAGUUAUUGUCCUCGUGCUGUUUAGUUAAGUUAUUGCGUGUUGACCAGAGUGUAGAUAUCUUUUUGUAUUAAAUAUAUCGUUGACUAUUUAAAUUAGUUAAUGAAGUCAUGUCUUUCAGUGGUUUUUAUUCAGAGAAUUUAUUUCUCGUUAUUUGUAGUAAUUCAGGCUGAUACCUGUUUGCAUGAUGGCGAUAAUACUAAAAACUAUAAAUACAACGCUUUUUUGACUGGACUAUAAAAGCCCCGCUGAGACACACUUUCCCAUGCUUUUUCCCAGCCAACUUCAAUAUUCAAAGACUAGAAAGUAGAAAAAAGACUCUGUUUCAUUUUCAUCGAAAAAGUAUUUAAACAGAAAGACUUAACUUGCUGCAAUUUAAUGGUGUACAAUAAAGAAUAUUGUAAUCUAAUCUUGCUUAUCCAAUCUCAUAAAGCGUAAAAUAAAACAAGAAAAAAAUACAUCUCAACAGACAAACAAACACCCCAACCAAAAUCUAACUAACACAGUUAUUUAUCAAUAUUAUUGCCGGCCUGCAUCUAAAGUCUAGUGCUACAACACUACAGCAUGUAGUAUGACGUCACGAGUUAUGAAUGGCCCGCUACAACCGACUGUCCUACGCGACUAUUUUCAGAACCCCCCCAGACGCAGACCAACGGUUACGUAACAUUUGUAGACUUUAACGUAGAAAAUGGAAUGGGAAUGGGAAUUAUGCGGUGAAUUGGCGUAUAGUUUGGGAAUGGGAUUUUUAGAUUUUGCUGGGCGCAGUUUGGAAGAAGAAGAGAGGAAGAAGCCUUUGAUCAGCACUGGGAUCAUCUUUAACCUCAGCAUCAUCACCGGCAGGCUAAUUAAAUGUCUGUCUAUGUACGACUAAUAUUUUUUGCAGCCAUGUACCGAUCACGCUACAAUUAAACAAAGAUACAUUUUAAGAACAAAA